rnacentral:rRNA from 1 species
GACGAACGCUGGCGGCGUGCUUAACACAUGCAAGUCGAACGGAGUGGCGAACGGGUGAGUAACACGUGGGUGAUCUGCCUUGCACUUCGGGAUAAGCUUGGGAAAAUGGGUCUAAUACCGGCUAGUACACGAUGAGCUCGCGGCCUAUCAGCUUGUUGGUGUGGUAAUGGCCUACCACGGCGUCGACGGGUAGCCGGCCUGAGAGGGUGUCCGGCCACAGUGGGACUGAGAUACGGCCCAGACUCCUACGGGGGGCAUCGGUGGGGAAUAUUGCACAAUGGGCGGAAGUCUGAUUCAGCGACGCCGCGUGGGGGAUGAAGGCCUUCGGGUUGUAAACUCCGUUCGACAGGGACGCGGUACCUGUAUAAGAAGCACCGGCUAACUACGUGCCAGCAGCCGCGGUAAUAC